AUACUUUGUCGAACUUGGAGCUAAUUGUAAAAAGGUGACUUUAAUGUUUUUGGCUCCUAAGCCUUCAUUUUAGCAAACUUAUUGUUUCCUCCAGUAACUACUUCAGUACUUCUGGGCAAAUGAAUUCUACCAGCUCUUCUUCUUAUUAAUAGAUAAUCUGUCUCAGAGCCAUAGUCACAAUUCAGUUGUCUUUUCUUGCAGCAUCAGAGGCUUCUGGAAAUGCUAGAUACAGAGAAGGAACUGUUAAAAGAAAAAAUAAAGGAAGCUUUGAUUCAGCAAUCUCAAGAACAGAAGGAAUUAUUGGAAAAAUGUUUGGAGGAAGAAAGGCAAAGAAAUAAAGAAGCAUUAGUAUCUGCUGCAAA